rnacentral:misc_RNA from 1 species
ACAAACUUGGUCAUUUAGAGGAAGUAAAAGUCGUAACAAGGUUUCCGUAGGUGAACCUGCGGAAGGAUCAUUACAAUAUAAAUCCCUCGGACCGCCGCAAGGCGGACCGGGCAGAGGCGGCCUGGGCUCAUCCCCCACGGCCUCUUCGUGGUAACCCCCUGUGAAAACCCCACGUUCGCCUCGGCGGCACACCCCCGACGGCUUCGGCCACGGGGGCGGUCAGUCCGCCGGCGGCACCCAACCAAAACCCAUAACCCUUUAGAAGAAGCUGUCUGAAAUCAAAGGUCGAAUGACUAUAAAACUUUCAACAACGGAUCUCUUGGUUCCCGCAUCGAUGAAGAACGCAGC